rnacentral:rRNA from 1 species
CAAGCCAAAUUAAGGUGAAACCGCGAAAGGCUCAUUAAAUCAGUUAUGGUUCCUUAGAUCGUACCCACAAUUACUUGGAUAACUGUGGUAAUUCUAGAGCUAAUACAUGCAAACAGAGCUCCGACCGGAGACGGAAGGAGUGCUUUUAUUAGAUCAAAACCAAUCGGUGGCGGGUUCGCGCUCGUYAUCGUACAACUUGGUGACUCUGAAUAACUUUACGCUGAUCGCACGGUCAUCGCACCGGCGACGCAUCUUUCAAAUGUCUGCCUUAUCAACUGUCGAUGGUAGGUUCUGCGCCUACCAUGGUUGUAACGGGUAACGGGGAAUCAGGGUUCGAUUCCGGAGAGGGAGCCUGAGAAACGGCUACCACAUCCAAGGAAGGCAGCAGGCGCGCAAAUUACCCACUCCCGGCACGGGGAGGUAGUGACRAAAAAUAACGAUACGGGACUCAUCCGAGGCCCCGUAAUCGGAAUGARUACACUCUAAACCCUUUAACGAGGAUCAAUUGGAGGGCAAGUCUGGUGCCAGCAGCCGCGG